GUCCACGCCGUAAACGAUGGGUACUAGGUGUAGGAGGUAUCGACCCCUUCUGUGCCGUCGUUAACACAAUAAGUACCCCGCCUGGGGAGUACGGUCGCAAGACUAAAACUCAAAGGAAUUGACGGGGGCCCGCACAAGCAGCGGAGCAUGUGGUUUAAUUCGAAGCAACGCGAAGAACCUUACCUAGACUUGACAUCUCCUGAAUUACCCGUAAUGGGGGGAAGCUCUUCGGAGCAGGAAGACAGGUGGUGCAUGGUUGUCGU
rnacentral:rRNA from 1 species